AUAUUGGGUAAUGGGGGAAACCCUGACCCAGCAACGCCGCGUGAGGUAAGAAGGCCUUCGGGUUGUAAACCUCUGUCCCCGGGGACGAAGAAAUGACGGUACCCGGGGAGGAAGACCCGGCUAACUACGUGCCAUCAGCCGCGGUAAUACGUAGGGGGCGAACGUUGUCCGGAAUUACUGGUCGUAAAGGGUGCGCCGGCGGCAGCUAAAGGUUAUUGUGACAGCCCCGGGCUUAACCUGGGGAUUGCAGUAAAAACUGGGCAGCUAGAGUACAGGAGAGGUAAGCGGAAUUCCUAGUGUAGCGGUGGAAUGCGUAGAUAUUAGGAGGAACACCAGUGGCGAAGGCGGCUUACUGGACUGAAACUGACGCUGAGGCACGAAAGCGUGGGGAGCAAAC
rnacentral:rRNA from 1 species